CCGCCCCCUCCCCCUCUGCAGGGCGGGGAGAGGGAAUCGCUCACCUUCUCCACGCCCCUAUUGGCGGGGAGCUACCCAAACUCAACCCCGCCUAUUGGAGAUGAAUUGCUGAAUCCCACCCCCAAGCCGCAACACUAUUGGAGGAAGCAUAAAAGCUCCUUUACGUCUCAUUGGAGGAUUCCACAUAUCACGCCCCAUGCCGUCUCAGCUACAGACCCAACAAGUCAGCUCUCGCCCUCGCCGAUCAUCGCAUUGGAAGGCUCUCCCACUGCCCUAGGAAGGGAGACCCCUCCUGCCCGACACUUAACCCAGUCCCCAGCCGCAACCAACCGAAACCAACGGCUCAGUGAAACAAACUAGGCGGCACACCGGCGCGCUGGCGACCCCGGGCCGGGCCGACCCGCCCACGAAACCCGCCUGGCUGGGAAACACACUGGCGAGCGACGACGCAGAGAUCUCCUUCCUGGCCUGGCCCUCGCCUCCCUCGGACCCGGAGCCUCCCCUAGUUUCGUCCCGAGGCCCACGGCGCCCGCACCGUGGCGAACAGGCCAAAGCGAUCGGCCGGCUAACUAGCCCCCCAAACGCUUGAGAUUGGGGGGGAACAAAUUAAAAGCAGCUGUUUAA